rnacentral:misc_RNA from 1 species
CACUCUCCCCUCCCGUCAUUGAACAUGUCGUGGUUGGGAUGCCUCGGAUCGGUUGCCUGUGCGGUUCUACCCUCUUUUGGGUAGCGAAGUCGUCCCUGGAUGGAUAUUUUGCUUGCCCUUAUGACAUUUUUGUGUCUUUUGGGGCAGCCGCAAUGUUGGCGAAAUCCUUGUGUUGGUGUGUGGUGGAAUGCCGUGUUGCUAUCACUUGGAUUUUCGCUGGCUCUCACGGAUGUGGUGCCUAGUGCUAUAGCUCUGUGGGACUUUGCCCCGCAGACUCCGGGAGGUCCCUUGUACGAACCAUUGCUCUUAUACGCCGUCUUGUCGUGUUGCCACCGCGGCACGCAGAUCGUGUUCUUUCGUGCAGUCGUUGACAGCGCGUUACGAACAUCAGUGUCCGGAGCGUGGUCUUGUGCAGGUGGAAUGCCUCUCUGACCGUAUGAGUAGCGAUUUCCGGUUUGCGUCACGCAAAGGCCUGCCCGUCUGG